UACGAAGGGGGCUAGCGUUGUCCGGAUUUAUUGGGCGUAAAGAGCGUGUAGGCGGUUAGGUAGGUCCGUUGUGAAAACUCGAGGCUCAACCUCGAGACGCCGAUGGAAACCAUCUAACUAGAGUCCGGAAGAGGAGAGUGGAAUUCCUGGUGUAGCGGUGAAAUGCGCAGAUAUCAGGAAGAACACCCGUGGCUAAGGCGGCUCUCUAGUACGGUACUGACGCUGAGACGCGAAAGCGUGGGGAGCGAACAGG
rnacentral:rRNA from 1 species